rnacentral:misc_RNA from 1 species
CGAAGGCCUCGUGCAAUGAGAGGUACAUCCUCUUCGAAAGUUGAUGAUGAUGAAAAGGAAGAAGAAUCUGUGAUGACCUUUGUUGAAAAUGAAGAUGAUUUUAGAAAUCUUAAUGAUGAGUAGUUUUAGUUAUAAAUUUUUUAUAUACUUCUUACAUUUUUGUUUAUUAUGACUUACAACUAAUUUUUAUAUAUUAAAGUCUGAAUUUCUAUAAUUUACAUUUUCUAUUGUGACUUAUAACUUGUUUUUAAUUUUUUAUUUAUUAUGUAUAA